rnacentral:lncRNA from 1 species
GUGCUCACAGGCUUUGAAGAACAAGCUGCCAUGAAUCCUACAGCUACAAGGAAAUGAACUCUGUUAACUUGAGUGAGCUUAAAACUAGAUCCUUCCCCAGUCAAGCCUCCAGGUGAGAGAGAAUUCAAUCCUGGCUGGCACCUGGAUUGCAGCUUACAGAAGACCCAGCUAAGGCCAUGUCUGGACUUUAAAUCCACAGGAACUGUGAGAGAACUGUUUGAUACAGGCAACCAGGACUGUAUGAGAGGCUGGAAAAGUAUCUAUCAGUACCACUUAUCUGUAGUAAAGACUUUUUAAAGCUCAUUUAUGAUUGCACAACCUAAAUAACCAUACAUGGCUGGGCCUGGGAAAGGCAGAAAGGCAGAUGGAUGGUAUCAGAAGUGGGACCUGCAGUGGGGCAUCUAGCAACCCCCAGGAGCAUUGAGUGACCAGGCAUGGUACCCACUGGGCUCAGGGUGUCCAUUGUUCUCUCGAAGCAACUGAGAAUUGUGGAUAUUCUUUGUUAUUCCAUCAUCAUCUCAAACCUCUUGGGUAUAGUG